CUAGUUUUUGUUAUUUUGAGUAAAUCUUUUUCACUGUUUAAUUAAAAUUUUAUAUUUUAGAGGAGACUGAAAUUGUAAAAAAAUUAUCUAAUUUAGAAAAAAAAAAUCAACUAAAGAUGAAAAUUUAUUUUUUCUCAAAAAUAGUUAUAUUGUUUUUUAAAAUUUAAAUAAAAUUUUUAUAAUAUUAAACUUCGCUCGUCAAGAGAAACCUAAAAAGUGUAAAUUUUAAUUAAAUGGUAAAAAUAUUUUCUAAAAAUGAACAAACUCGAAAACUAAAACAAUUAAAAAAACUUAAAAAGAAUAAAAACUAGGCCAAACAAGGUCUUAAUCUAAUUGCGUGAUUAUUGAAACAAUAAUCUAAUGUUUAUUGAAUGAUUGGAAUGAAGCGAGUUGUUGGGAUUUUUGCCCAUCAUAACGGUGGAAGGGAUCAACCACCAUAUAGUGACCGAAGACUUGAUCUCGCUAUCGGAACAAGAGAUCAUGGAUUGCAAUAGGACACUAUUAUGUUCAAGGUUCUCUUUGAGAGACCUAGCAAAUGAAAGUGAACAGAAAAUGAUGGAAAUCUCUAUUCAAUCUAGAGAACGGGCUUCUAAAAGAAAUGAUACAACUGAUUUUUCAUAUCCUUGUUUAGUUUUACAAUGAUGUUUAUAUACAUUCUAUCAAGAAUCCUUCCUGUGUUACUGUUGUAACAGAUAUCUAACUUCUAACUGCUUCUUUAACAAACUAAAUGUUACUUAACAACUAGUUGCUAUUUAACAGAUUUAACUACUUGCUAACAACCAUUUGAUCUUGUUUCCAUUCGUCUUUAUAUUAUAUACUCCUUCAUCCAUCUAAGUCUUUAUCAAAUUCUCUUCAUACUGUCAUUACCUGCACUGCCAGAUCCAUUUAUACUACUAGCCUCAAUACCUUUCUCUGUUCCUUCCUCUAUUGUUCCUUCUUCUGCAACAUUUGUAACAUUCAUUUCCCCAUCAAAUCGAAUGUGGUCCUCCAAGUUCAAGUGUGGAAACAUUUCACUGAAAAUAUCUGAAUCUUUCCAUGAACUGUCUUCUAUAGGUAAACUUUCCCAUUGGACCAGCACUUGUGUUUUGGGUUGUCCUUCCACUAUAAUGGUUCUGCUAUUCAAAAUAGCUAAUGGAAAUAUAAGGGAUUGUUUCUCCGAUCCAAUGGCAGGUAAUUGAACAAUCGCAUGAGGUAAAAUAGAGCCAAAAAAUGAUUUCAACUAAGAAACAUGAAAACAUGAUAUAUUUUACUAGUUGAAGGCAACUCUAACUGAUAAACAACAUGUCCAAUUCUUUUUGCAACUGGAAAAGGACUAUAAUACCUUUGACAAAGCUUGUAAUUCAAUCUAUGAGCUAAUGAUUGUUGCUGAAAAACUAAAUCUCAUAUGUGCCCAUCAGCCUGUUGUUUCAUCCUCUUUUGAGCCUUCAUUAAAUUUUGUUUCAAUCGAGUUAAGAGUUCUUCUAUGGUAAAUAAUUCAGUGUCAAUUGCUUCGAUAGAAGAAGAACCUGGGCUAUAAGACUAAAUAAGUCGAGGUUGAACUUCAAAUGGAGUCAUACCAGUGAAGGAAUGAAAAGAAGUAUUAUACCAUAAUUCUGCUUAAAUCAAAAAAAUUGUCCAAGUACGUGGAUGUUGAUGCUUAAAGGCUCUUAAGUAAUGUUCCAAACACCUGUUCAUUACUUCAGUCUGACCAUCAAUUUAAGGAUGAUAUGUAAAAUUGUAUUUCAAAGUUGUGCCACUCAACUGAAAUAGUGUUUGCUAAAACUUACUGAGAAAAAUUGAUCAUUGGCUACUGUGGUCGUUUGUUACAAUUUAGAUAAAGCACAUCUAUGAUCUUCAUACAAGGAAGGACCAAACCUGAGAUUAAUAGCUUUUAAGAACCCUUUCCAAGAUUCAUUGAAACCAUUGGAAUGCAUCCAUUUUAGCCAAGAGCAGGCCCUUCCAAAUGAAAAGAAGAGAUCAUGACCCUUUAAUUUUCAGGAGUAUUGUAAAAUUGAAAAUUUGCUCCAUCUUGAAUAUCCAACUGGAUACAUAUAUUCCAUCAAAGUGAGGUACUUCAAUUUUCAUGGAUUGAAAUUGAUAAUUUUUGUGGUUGUGGUUGCUGAAAGUAGACAUAUUGGUGGGAUUAUCUUCAGGAGUAUGCUGUGGAUGAUUGGAUACAUCUAUGAUUCUCUAAUCAACAGCAUGCAUGAAUCUUGCAAUAGGAUUGUUAGAUCACAAAUUUGAACUUCAGUUUCCUUCCUAAACUCAUUUAGAUUCUUGAUAGCCUCAUCUGUCUUUGAAAAUCUAAUACCUUCAGCCAUUAUAGAAGGAAUGGAAUGAAAGCACCAAUAUUAUGUUCAAGGUUCUCUGUGAGAGAACUUGCAAAUGAAAAUGAACAGAAAAUGAUGGAAAUCUCUAUUCGAACUAGAGAAUUGGCUCCUAAAAGAAGAUACAACUAAUUUUUCAUAUCCUUGUUUAGUUUACAAUAAUGUUUAUAUACAUUCUAUUAAGAAUCCUCCCU
rnacentral:lncRNA from 1 species